UGUUCUAACCUGAAGGAGGUGUCCUAUUACCAUGAAGGUGGUGCCCUAUGACCAUGAAAUUGGUGUUCUUCCCUGAAGGUAGUGUUCAAACCUGAAGGAGGUGUCCUAUUACCAUGAAGGUGGUGCCCUAUGACCAUGAAAUUGGUGUUCUUCCCUGAAGGUAGUGUUCAAACCUGUAG